rnacentral:rRNA from 1 species
UACGUAGGGUGCGAGCGUUAUUCGGAAUUACUGGGCGUAAAGCGUGCGCAGGCGGUUUUUUAAGUCAGAUGUGAAAUCCCCGGGCUUAACCUGGGAACUGCGUUUGAAACUACAAGGCUAGAGUGUGGCAGAGGGGGGUGGAAUUCCACGUGUAGCAGUGAAAUGCGUAGAGAUGUGGAGGAACACCGAUGGCGAAGGCAGCCCCCUGGGUUAACACUGACGCUCAGGCACGAAAGCGUGGGGAGCAAACAGG